UACGGAGGGUGCAAGCGUUAUCCGGAUUCACUGGGUUUAAAGGGUGCGUAGGUGGGUUGGUAAGUCAGUGGUGAAAUCUCCGGGCUCAACUCGGAAACUGCCGUUGAUACUAUCAAUCUUGAAUAUUGUGGAGGUAAGCGGAAUAUGUCAUGUAGCGGUGAAAUGCUUAGAUAUGACAUAGAACACCAAUUGCGAAGGCAGCUGGCUACACAAAUAUUGACACUGAGGCACGAAAGCGUGGGGAUCAAACAGG
rnacentral:rRNA from 1 species